rnacentral:misc_RNA from 1 species
GACACAGUUGCAGUGCGUGCGACAGAUUAUGGUUCUCCAACAAUCUCGUAACGGUGUCCGGACUGCACUUUCACGCUUUACGGAUAAUUUCCUCCGGAGCUUCGCCCCACUCAUCAUCAUUCACCCCUAGCUGGUCCAGAUGUGCUCCUGAGGAGGUGUCCCUGCGGUCAAGUGCUCAACACGAAUGACACAAGCCAGUUGCCAGCAUGGGAAGUGCGGAGAGACGUGUCCAUCCAGUGCGGCUUACAACGGAUGCCCCCUUUGCCUCUCCCAAUGGAGAUUAUUCUGUCAACGACAACUGGCGACAAUGCUGAGGAAGGAACAAGGCUGAGCCAAGUCCUUUCUCCAGUUGAGAAAGAAGAAGACCAUGGCACAGACAAGGCAUUGAAUUGUGAACGGCUGUUUCGGUGCCAUCUCUGCAAGUACUCAACACCUAAGCUUCAGAGGCUGAGAUAUCACCUAGUAUCGCACAGCACAGAGAAACCUUUCAAGUGUGAGGUUUGCCCAGUGGCCUUUAAGUGCUUGGAGUCCUACAACGCCCACAUGUGCAAACAUACGGGAGAAAAGCUGUACCAGUGUGACCUUUGCCCGUAUUCGACUGCUUACAAGAAAAGCCAUUUGGAGCACAAGCGGACUCACUGAAAUGUCAGGCCUUUUGCCUGCACCAUGUGUGGAUAUAGAACUAAUAGCAAGUCAAACCUUCUUAUGCAUAAGCGUCAACACACAAACAAUAAGCCUUUUAAGUGCAAAGUCUGCUCUCUUGGUUUCGGUCGAAAGCACUCCUUAAAAAUCCACAUGCAGCAGCAUCUGGAGCUGUAGCUGCGCUGAAGAUUGUGGGUGUUCCUGAAAGCCGCAUCCAAGAUUAAGUGCCUGGAAAGAUGUGUUGAUGCACGAGCCGGGAGACAUGUUGAACGAAAGCAGAUAGGCCCUUGAUGCCCAUUACUGUACAUCUGUGAUGAGCAAGUGCGCGUUUGAAAAGUCCGUGACAUAAAGAAUAUAGACUCCAGACAACGAUGAAGACGACGCAGGACCGCAGCACGUGUGAGCGUGACCACAUCUGUCCAAUGAAGUGCCGCCACGGGGUUUUCGGAAGGAAAACCACGGGUGUAGAACGGCAGAGCGAGGAGACGUGGCCAGGACGUGACCGAGUGAAGAAGGCGACCAGGGCGCGGGAGUGGCUGCCGGCAGAGUUCCUGAGUCGCGGCCGCUGUGGGCUCCCACCUGGGCGCGUACCCAGCUUCUUCAAUCGUCUGGCAUUGGCCAGAUACAUGCUUCCCAUCGUCUGGCAUUGGCCAGGCAAGACCUGCGUCUUCCAUCUGAACCCCAGUCUGCAGUAGGCGAACGCCGAAAGGGCAUCCAGCCGUUGACCUCGACUCGCCCUACGCUUCUGUCCAUCCGAGUGAGCGUCUUGCCGCAUCUCUAGCCCUCGCCGUCUGCGUGAGUGCGUCUGUGCCUUGCCCUCACAGUCUCCGCUACAAGCUUCGCGUCCCAAUGAAUGGUGACACUGCCUUUUUCUCUUGUACAUAUCUUCUGUGAACUGUUCGCGUCUUCUAACAUUUUCCUGCUCUUGUUAACUUCUUUUGUGCUUGCAUUUUCUGUAACUUCCUCUCCCUCGCUAUCUUUGUCUUCUGUGUAAAUAUAUUGAGUGUUUCGUUUCAGGAGUGCACAAAUGGUCUCGCCUUGUUUCUUGAUGACGGUUAUGUCAUUGGUUGAAUGUUUACACGAACCUACACGAGAGCGUAAUUAAUUGAAUAGCCUCGUGACAAUUGGCGUCCGCAGUGACAGGACAAAGCCGUUUGUUUUUCAACUUGAUGUUUCUGUAGUUAAAGCUAUGACGAGCGCGUAAGAAAUAUUGGAACUGGCAGAACGCACGGGUUUCGAGGGUGUGGAGCUUAGAGUGUGGUAUGACGAGCGGAUGGCACGAGAGUUCGAAGGGAACUAGACAAGCAGAAGGUUGGCACCGGACCGAGCGCUGAAGAGGGGUUGUCGGGUUUCGGACCCGAGCCACCAAGACUUCAACUGGCCGUGGCCUCCUGCCAUCGAGUUCCUGUGCGAGACCAUAGCCACGGGGCAUGAACUCCAGCCCAAGGCCUGCGGACUUCGGUUCCGGCAGGCAAGCAGCAGCAGUUGGGCUACGGGCCCGAGCUGUCCUCCCAGGUGCCUGGGCCUGUUUCUUCAGGCAUCUCAGCGUGUCGCCCAGUAGCCACCGUUCUCUUAUCAACACCAGCCACACCCGCCAACUCAGCCAGUCAAGCCUCUGCUGGUUGGCGAUAUCGAACUUGUAUUAUUCCCCGCUCCACCGCUCAGCUGCGUCAGAAUUAGACUCUGUAGUUUUGGUCUUUGAACUUGCAUUUGGUGCGUCCUUAGAAGUAUUUAAUGUGUGCAGUGAACUUUUUAUUAAGUAUUUACCUGUGUAUAGUUUUUUAGGGCCGAAGCUCCUCUUAGUCUAACCUUGUCACGUCUCCGUUGUCCGGCGUAACCACCUUUCCAAACUGCCCACUCCUUCG